GCGAGAGCCCCCCCUCACAAGAUGGCCGCCAGGCUGCCACCCGGCCAGGGAGAGGGCGCUCCAGGCUGCCAGCCCCUCCUGCAGGCAGUCCAGAGAAGGAUGUCGCCUUCUCCGUCAGCAUGAGACACGCCUUCGUACCCUUCUCAGGAGGGAUGAUCCUAGCUGCAGAUUAUUCCCAGUUGGAGCUGCGGGUGCUAGCUCACCUCUCUAAGGACCGGCGCCUCCUACAGGUCAGGAGAUACACGCA